UGGUGUCCCACAUACAAAAUAGGAGAAGAUGAGCACUGAUGUUAGCUCAGGGCCAAUCUUCCUCACCAAAAAAAAGAAAAAAGAAAAAGAAUGGCCCUUUGAAGUGGAUGAUCAGGUGUUCAUAUCAGGUUUGCUCAAAGGCAAGACACCUAUAUGACAGGAAGAUGGUCCCAUGACUUCAUAACUAGAUAUAUACAUACAUAUAUGUGCGCAUUCAUUCAGGUAUGUGCAUACGUGUGUAUUUUUUUCUUCUCACAAUUUUGAUCAAGAAAUAACAGGUUCUUCACCACACAAAAAUUCAGAUACCACUUGUGGUCUGAGGCUCUACAGAGCAGUGGCCCUGUCCCCAUAACAACUCCUGAGACCCAUCCUUGAUGGACUUCCUGAGUGUUUCAGGCUUUGCGCAGGAGCUCACUAAGAGCUCUGAGCAGCCAGUUCUUGCUGCCAAAAUUCAGCUGUGGAAGAAAACCACAUAAUUUCCCCACAGGCUACAGGAGGUUGUGAAACCGGUAUUUGGUGUGCCUCUCUGCCAGCAGGUGGCCACUCUGACUUCACACAACCAUGACCGAAAUGUGGUCAAGGUCUUGGCGGCAGGCCCCAUGGGAACUGCUCAUACGUGGAGGGGCAGGAUACGGAGUCUUCUGCUCCCGGAUGAGACCCCCCCCCCCCAGAGGUGCAAAGGAAAGUGUGGCUGCCUGGGUGGGAUCCUGAGCAAACCACCUUAUUCCUUUUUAUUUAACUCUCAGCAAAAUCAGACCCUAAACUCUCAGGAAGCUAGAGGCAUAGGUGAUAUUUCAACUAAUGAUCAUAUUCUUAUCUUCCUCCAGAUGGCCAGGGGAGAAGACCUCAGGAUGGACGUCCAUUCGUGGAGGGGGCUCCCGUAGCAGACAGGGGAAGUUGCCACACAAUCUGAUGCCAGUUCUUCUCGGGACCCACCCACCACCUCUCAUUGCUCCAGCCCCGGUAACCAGUUGAGACCUACAGAGCCCAGGUGACAAGGCAUCAGAGUUCUCUGGGGGAGAUGGCACACACAGGGAGGGAACCCCAGCUCCGCUCCAGCCUGCACCAGCAGGGGCCUGGGACAAGCAUGGGAGUAGAACCUAAGAGUACUGGACCAAAUGGGAUGGAAUAACUCUUGAUGAGGCUGAAAUCUUUGACACAGAUGCCCUCACCCGGGAUUUACUUGUUGGCUCAAGCCCUGAGAGUGUGGUUAAUAAUCUUCCAGGUUGACUAAUUGAAGCCUGAACAAGGAUGGUUUGGAAUUAAUGAGGUCAAAACUGCUUGAAAUCUCUGGCCUGCUGUACAGGAUGGAGGUCAAAGGCUCAGGGAAAUAGAACUGGAGAAAUGGAUCAAUUGUUUGCAGCUGACUCAGGCACUCCCUAAUCAUAGGCAAUCCCUCUCUCCUGAGGGGGCCCGGAGGGCCCUGACAAUUGCACGGGUGAGUUGGUCAACAGCUCUCGGGGCUGUCCUCCGCAGGCUGGAGGUCACGCUGGGGAGCACAGCACAGACACCAAAUUCCCCAUCUCAGCAGGAAUGAUGGGAGCCCAGAGUGGGGUGGGAGCAGCCAUCAGCCACCAGGGCCAGGGGCAGCCUGAGGCCUCAGGAAGGCACACAGAAUGCCCAGCAGUAGUAUCUGGACCCACCGGCAUCUGUGUUGCUGGCUCCUUGCUCAUGGGGUCCCUGGACUUGAAAGAGAUGCCUGCUAAGGGCUGCUCGACAUUUGUAGGUAUGAAAAUCCCAGGUCUGCUAAGAGAAACUACCUCGUGGCUGCUCCCCAGUCCCCAGACCUAAGCCACUUCCCACCCCAGUGCACACCUUUCUGGACAAUUCCUUUAUUAAGUACUCCCUUGAAUGACCCAAGUUGAAGAAUGCCGCCUGUUUCCUGCUGGGAUCCCCAUCUGAGAGGGCAAUGCCUUCACGGGCCUUUCAUGUCGCUGGGUGUGAUGGUCAUUACGGACGCAAUUAUCAAAAUCAAUACAUCAGGGGGUUCUCCUCCCCAGAGACGGGUGGGACAAGGAAAAGUCACCCAGAGAGAAUCCAGUUACAACAGAAACCAAAGUUCAAAGGAAAUAGUGAGAAAUAGGGUUUGAUUUAGACUCUGUCUUGAUAAAUUAAACUGAAAAUUAUGGACAUGGGUUAGUUUUACCUUGGAUUUACCAAAAGGUAAAUUUAUGCAAAAUUGCAGCUU
rnacentral:lncRNA from 1 species